rnacentral:rRNA from 1 species
UACGGGGGGGGCAAGCGUUGUUCGGAAUUACUGGGCGUAAAGGGUUUGUAGGUGGCUUGUUAAGUCAGACGUGAAAUCCCUCAGCUUAACUGGGGAACUGCGUCUGAGACUGGUGAGCUUGAGUGCAGGAGAGGAACGCGGAAUUCCAGGUGUAGCGGUGAAAUGCGUAGAGAUCCGGAGGAAGACCGGUGGCGAAGGCGGUCUGCUGGGCAGUUUCUGACACUGAUGCGCGACAGCGUGGGGAGCAAACAGG